UACGUAGGGUGCGAGCGUUAAUCGGAAUUACUGGGCGUAAAGCGUGCGCAGGCGGCUUUGCAAGACAGAUGUGAAAUCCCCGGGCUCAACCUGGGAACUGCAUUUGUGACUGCAAGGCUAGAGUACGGCAGAGGGGGAUGGAAUUCCGCGUGUAGCAGUGAAAUGCGUAGAUAUGCGGAGGAACACCAAUGGCGAAGGCAAUCCCCUCGGCCUGUACUGACGCUCAUGCACGAAAGCGUGGGGAGCAAACAGG
rnacentral:rRNA from 1 species